rnacentral:tRNA from 2 species
GCAGGGGUAGCCAAGCCAGGCCAACGGCGCUGCCUUGAGGGGGCAGUCCCGAAGGGGUGCGCGAGUUCGAAUCUCGCCCCCUGCA